CUUAUAUAAAUCUUCAAAUUACUGAAAACAUCUGUAAACGUUACUCUUACAAAAAAUAUCCUUUGAUUUCACUC
rnacentral:lncRNA from 1 species